GCGGGUGUGGUGAAAUUGGCAGACACGGUAGUUUUAGGUGCUACUUCCGAAAGGAAUGCAGGUUCAAGUCCUGUCACCCGCACCA
rnacentral:tRNA from 1 species